UUUCCGUAGGUGAACCUGCGGAAGGAUCAUUACCGAGUAACGGGUCUUUCAGACCCACACUCCCACCCUUUGUGUACCUUACCACUAUUUCGUUGCUUUGGCAGGCGGCUCCCUCUGGGGGGUAACCUGCCAAAGGAACACCCUUUAAACUCUUGUUAAUAGGGACUGUCUGAGAAACAAAAACAAAUAAAUUAAAACUUUCAACAACGGAUCUCUUGGUUCUGGCAUCGAUGAAGAACGCAGC
rnacentral:misc_RNA from 1 species